UCUUUUGGUUCUCAAGGAUAUUGGUGGUGAUUAGGCGAGCCCGCUUUCUUCACUCCGGAAAUGAGAGAGAAAGUGAGAAACAAAUCAUGUUCUCUUUUUGCGAGGUCUCUACUAUGUAAAUCAGUAAGAUUAUUUCUCAUUUUUCUAUAUGGAUAUAACUUUAGUUUUCCAUUUUUAUGUUUUAUAAGCAAUCCACUUUAGAUCUUUAUUUUUCAUUAGGCUAUAUAAAGUUUAUGCUAAAUAUACUACAAUAUAGGAUCCACCCAUAUCAAAUACUCUUGAAUUUUUGAGUACUUAGAUCUAGAUCUGUUAUAUUCAUGACAAAAAUUAUAUGGAUAUGGAUAUACCUAUAUUCACUGCUAUCCACACCUGACCCGGAUCCAUAAAAAAUGUUUAAAUUAUUAAAAUAUUAAUUAUAAAUUAUGUUGAAUUUGUAUAAAUUAAAACAGAAAGAGUAAUAUAGGCCAUAUGAUAUUUUCAAAAUAUCAUAAGACAUUAAAAUAUUAAUCUUAUACAUGUAUCAUAAUAAAUUAUAUGUAAAAAGUGAAUCCAAGUUAGAAUGAGGUAUUAUAACCUUUAAAUAUAUAUACUCUUAUCCAAUGUUUUAGAUACCCUAUUUUCUGAUAAGACUAUAUUUAGAUUUUCAGAUAUUUUGUCGAGUCUUAGUACGUUGUAGUAAUUGUGGCGAUAAAUCUACCAUUCUUGUAAUUUACUUAAAUAAUUUGUUGGAAUGUUCCUAGUAAACUAUUCAAAAUAACUUGUGAAAAUAAGUUCAAAUAAUCAAAGACAGAGAAACAAUUACAAACAAUAUUUUGAGUUGCUGGUUAUAGAAAAUUCUUUGUUCAGAGUAUUUUUGCACGAAACAAAGACCAAAAGAAAAUAAAACACCUAUGUAAACUAUUAAUUUCUAUAUGAAAUAUUAAAUAUUGUAUUUUGAUAUUAAGCAUAAUAAAAUAUAUUAAGCACAUUUAAAAUUUGUAAACCUUCAAAAUCAUGGAGGUAUGACCAUGUGAAACAGAUUAUUAACAUAUUGAUUCUUUUCAUGGUAGAAUAACCCUAUUUUGUAUUGCUAGGUAUGUUUUCUCUCCUAUAUUUGUAAAUAUAUUUAUUCAGUCAAAUUAGUUUUCUCAAUAUAUUAUUUUUUUUUUUUAAUAAUUAAUUAAUUAUUUUUAAGUAUGAGGUUUUUAGCGUCAUAAUUUCAUUAAAAUAAUAAUAUGAACAAUGAUUUUAAUUAAAAUGAAAAAUCAGUUUAUUGUUUUGGAUUUUUUCAUUAAAAUUAUAAUCUGAACAUUGAUCUUCACUGAAGAUCUAAAGAUUUAUAAACUUUUUUUGACAUAUUCAUAUAUUACGAUACAAUUAGAUGAAUUUGAAUGUCAUCAAGACCUCAUUAUAUCUCCAUCAAUUAAACAUGUGUAGUCCUUAUAAAUAAUAAUGUUAAAACUCUAACUCCGUCCACAUCUCCUAGCUAGAUAAAAAAUACAAGUCAUGUUUGGAAUUCUAGGGUUUAUUGCCGCCAUGGAAGAAGGCAUAAUAAAGUAGUCUCUACCCAAAGCAAGUCCCCAAGGAUGGAGAUUAUCCUCCAAUUUGAUUUCUUAAUUGAGAUAUUCUCAAAGAUUUCAAUUGAAGACGUUGCGAGGUAUCGUUGCAUGUCGAAGCUUUUGUUUUCCUUACUGCAUCGUCGAGAAUUUACCCAAAUGUUUCUAAAAUCAUGUCAUUGGUUCGGCCGCAUAUUUUAUUCACCUUCCUACACAAAGGUAAGCAGAUGUUCUACUCCAUACCUCAAGAAUUAGAUCCACACCGCAACUACCCUUCUCCUAUAUCUCCCUAUUACCAUAUGCAUUUCCCUUAAAGUUUGGGUUCUGAGGAAAAUAUGUGUCCCUCUUCACUUAGUUUGAUCUAUAACAAAUCUAAGAACCGAUGAUUUGUAAGCCUAGCACAGAGAGUACAUAUGUUUACCACUAGUGACCACGAAGAGGAAUAAGAUGAAACCCCAUCUCGAGUAUGAUCACAUCGAAAACUCUUCAAGGUAUUAUCCUUAAAGACUUUUUGGAUUGGAUCAUACCCGAGAUAGGGUGUAAUCUGAUUCCUCUUGGUUGUCACUAUGGGUAAAGAUAUGUACUAUCUUGUGCUAGGGUUACAGAGCAUCGACUUCUUAAAUUUGUUACAUAUCAAACUAGGUAAAGAGGGACACUUAUCUUCCCAGAACCCAAACCUUUAGGGAAAUGCAUCUAGUAAUAAGGAGUUAUAGGAGAAGAGUAGUUGCGGUUUGAAUCUAGUUCUUGAGGUAUGGAGUAAAAGAUCCGUUUACCGUUGUAUAGGAAGUUGAAUAAAAUACGCGGCCGAACCGAUGAUAUAUUUAGAAACAGUUGGGUGAAUUCUCAACAACGCAGUAUGAAAGACUAAAGCUUUGACCGCAACGAGACCUCGCAGGUCUUACGAUGAAAAUCUUGAGAAUGUCUCAAUCAAUAGAUCAAAUGGGAGGAUGAUCUCCGUCAUGUUUUCUCUUGGGGACUUGCUUGGGUUGGAGACCACUUUCUUUUUUCUUUUUUCCAUGGUGGCGAUAAACCCUAGAAUCCCAACCAUGAAUUAUAUUUUUAAUCUAGGAGAUGUGGACAGAGUGAGAGUUUUAACAUUUUCUCUUUAUAAGGACCAUACAUGUCUAAUUGAUGUACAUAUAACAAGGUCUUGAUGAUAUUCAAAUUCAUUUAAACUUAUCGUAAUAUAUGAAUCUGUCAAAAAAGUAAAAUUAAAAAUCUUUAAAUUGUUAGUGAAGUGUUCAGAUUAUUAUUUUAAUUAUCCAACCCGUUUGCUAAAGAUCCGAGUGUCUGCCCGUGUCUUAAAAGGAGUGUGACAGAUCGAGUUCGAUCCUCGUGGAAAACAAGGCAUGUUCGAUUUUGUUUACGGGCUUUUACUCUUCAUCUCUGAUAAAUUAUAGUAAAUAGGCCCAAAUUUUUAAAUGGAUCCAGCUUAACACUUCAUGUUUUAUUAUGCAUUAAUUAUUAAUUAUAAGAAAUCAAAACACCUAUUUAAUAAUGAUAACAAUGACCUAAUAUAAUUUUCCUCUUCUCUAAAACACCGUCUCCCAACAUUGGACAAGAAGAAAAAGAAGAAGAAGAAGAAAGAUGUCUUCGAUGAUCAAUCUAGUGACUUUGGUACCAAGGAUUUGGAUUUCAAGGAAGAGAAGCUAGGAGUUGCAGAUUACAAAUCCCUCUGAUACGAGUUUGAUGCUUGCGUUGCGGGUGAGAAAAUGGGUUCUGGAGAUGCAAGGACAUUGAGUUACUCAUGAAGUAGGAGAUUUGCUGAUUUGGUUUGGAGAAAGGUAAAUUAUCAUCCUUGGUAGCAUGUUUAUCUCAACAUCGAUUCUAAUCAUGACGGAUUAACAUGAAUUAUACUCAUCUGUAUUGGAUGGUGAUUUGAAAUAUGAAACAAGUUCUCCGCUUUGGGAAACUAUGUUACAUUAAAAAAAAAAUUUGGGGGGGGGGGGGUUAGUUCGUGUGAAUGUAAACGAAAGAUCGAAUCUAAAUCUGAACGUUUGAAUCCAAGUCCGAUUUGAUUAGCUUUAUAGAAGUAAUAAUGUUUUCUUACACAGUUACACUGAAUCUGAAGAUGUAGUUCCAGAACAGCUUGCAGUGAAGAUCAGGAAGCUGCAUCUGUUCAGACGCCUCAGACCACAUCAGACGCCUGGGAUCACAUCAGACACUUGAAGUUGCUGACAUGUAGUCGUGAGAUGACGUGGCAAAGCUUAAGUGGAUGGAGUGACGUGCUAAGGAAGAUUUAUUGCUUGGCAGCAAAGAUAGAGACAAAUUGUGUGUGAAGAUAUGGUGAAUAUUCUUUACAUCAAAUAAGGAAAGGAUGAGCUUGACAAGCAAGCAUAUUCCGUUUCGG
rnacentral:lncRNA from 1 species